GUCCACGCUGUAAACGAUGUGUGCUAGACGUUGGGGAGCCUAGCUCUUCGGUGUCGCAGCUAACGCUUUAAGCACACCGCCUGGGGAGUACGGCCGCAAGGUUAAAACUCAAAGGAAUUGACGGGGGCCCGCACAAGCGGUGGAGCAUGUGGUUUAAUUCGACGCAACGCGAAGAACCUUACCAGCCCUUGACAUGUCCGGUAUGGGUGGGGGAGACCUCUCCCUUCAGUUCGGCUGGCCGGAACACAGGUGCUGCAUGGCUGUCGU
rnacentral:rRNA from 1 species